rnacentral:rRNA from 1 species
CGCGUGAGGAACCUGCCUUCCAGAGGGGGACAACAGUUGGAAACGACUGCUAAUACCGCAUGACGCAUUGGUGUCGCAUGGCACUGAUGUCAAAGAUUUAUCGCUGGAAGAUGGCCUCGCGUCUGAUUAGCUAGUUGGUGAGGUAACGGCCCACCAAGGCGACGAUCAGUAGCCGGACUGAGAGGUUGGCCGGCCACAUUGGGACUGAGAUACGGCCCAGACUCCUACGGAAGGCAGCAG